rnacentral:misc_RNA from 1 species
GUAAUAGACAAUAAGCCAAUUAAAAAGCAUUUUUAUAACAUGAAAUUACCAAACUGUUGCGUGAGCUAACAACAAUUAUUGGAAGGUAAUUCAAACUCGCAACCUUAAGUUUGUUGACAUUGCAGCCUUAAUGAGCAAUGCUAGAAACCUCACCAUGAUCAUGAUCAUCAUGCUUUUCAACAUUUUGAUACUUAAACAACUUAGCACAUACGAGAUAGUACCCAAAGUUCACCACCCCUAUCACUGCCGACGACCAAAAUACAUUAUCCAAUCUCCCAUCAUUAAUGUUGUUAUUAGGUAACCAUCCUGUGGAUCGACGCACCAAAUGAGUGAUUGCUGUGCCUAGAUAAAAUCCAAUUCCAAUUAGCAAUGAAAUCAUAGCCGUAGAGGUACUUCUUAAUGAACUUGGAAAUUCUUGAUAAUACAAUGCUACUUGUCCUGGAAAGUGAAACCCCUCCCCAACCCCUACAAUGGCUAAUGGCAAAACAAGCCAUAGUCCUGACAUAGGCACGAUUGAUGAUCCAGGUGUACCAUUGCUGUUAUGGGUUUGAACCACAUGGAGCCUUCUUGACUCGAUUAGGGCAGAUACCACCAUGGCUAGGAUAUUGAUGACAUGACCGAUUCCUAUACGUUGGAGGGGCGUCAAGGUUUGAAAAAUCAGAUUUUGCCACGCGGGAAGUAAGAAGCGAUCAAUGAUGAAGAUUGAUAGAGCGGUGGCCACUAGGUUAAAGACUAGGAAAGACCCAGGUGGAACUUGGAAACGUGGUCCAAGGUGCCUGUCCAUAGUAAGGGCUUGGAGGAUUGUUAGGCUGUUGAAUAUAGCUAUGGUAGUACUCAAGAAAAUGCUAGUAGACCAUAGUGGCAUGAUUUUGAUUAGGGUUUUGAGAUCUUCUAAUUCCUCCAAUGUACAUAGCUUCCAAGAUGGUUGAUUUUCAUCUUCUGUUCUUAUGGCUGCAAAAUUCAAAAAUCUGAAAUUUUCUGUAGGAGUGCGAACUUGAAACUUAGUACUGGUGUCUCCAUGAUAAUAGUCCAAACCCUGACAAUUUCCUGAUAACAUCUUCCUUUUGCGAAUUGCCGCAACCACAACACGAGCAAUGCUCAUGAAGGGACUUCCCUUCGGCUUACUUGGCCGGUAGAAACGUUUUCCGAGCAAAAACACGGCUAAGCUAAUGGCAUUAGCGAUGACACAGAUCCCAAACCCUAAACUCCAACUAAUAUUAUCCUGAAUGUAGAUGAUAGCCGUGUAGCUUAUGAUACUGCCAAGGUACAAGGUGAAAAAAUACCAGUUGAAGAAUAUUGCUUGAUGAUUUGGCUGAUCAAAUUGGUCUGCCCCCAUAGUUGCAAUUGUGAAGCGUGUGCCUCCAACCCCCAAUGAAGCUAGGGAUAAGGCCAGAUAGAGGACACCAUAUUGAAGGUGUGAUGGAGUUUGACAUGCAUAUGAACCAACUGGACAUAGUGGAGGUCUCAAGGAAUGGAUUGUAGAUGUUAGGGUUAACAAGAUCACACCCAGCAAGGAAAUGAAGGCAAAAACAGCAACGACAGAGAAGGAGCCGAAGAAGGAGUCGGCGAUGAUGGCUCCGGCGAUGGGAAAGAGAUUAUUGCAACCAAGAAUUACAUUAUUAAUUUGAGUAGCCGCAAUACUCUUUAUAUUGUAUUCACUUAUCAAAAAUACUAUCAAAUUGGCAGACCAACCCCCAGAUGCUAGCGUAAGACCCAUCACAGCACCUAUAAUGAAGGGAAAGGACGUCCACCCUCCUUUCUCAUGCUUCAAUGGUGAGCUGAUAUGUGCUGCUUCCAUUAUCUCUCUCUA